rnacentral:lncRNA from 1 species
ACGAUUAUAUGAACUAUUGAUGACACGUGCAUCCAUUUUUCAUAAAGUUUUAGGAAUAAAUUUUGGGCAGAGACUGCAAAUAAGUGAUUUGGUAAUCUUAUGGUGUCAAACACUACUUGUAUUAAAAAAAAAAAAAAAAAAAAAAAAAAAAAAAAAAAAAAAAACACUACUUGUAUUCCUCUAUGCAGUUUUAUGUCAUCCCAAGUUUUUGAUAAUGAAGGAACACUUUGUAGCUCUCCAAAUUGGGGUAAUGACAUGCAAGGAUGAUGGAGAGAUCCAUGUUUUCUUGUUUA